ensembl:snRNA U2 U2 spliceosomal RNA
AACACUUCUCUGCUUUUUGGCUAAUAUCAAGUAUAGUAUCCGUUCCUAUCAGUUUAAAAUGGUGAUAGUGAUGAAGUCUUUUUACUACACUGGUGUCCAAACAUUUUACCGAAUUUUAUUAUACAAAUGUUCACGUUCACACUUU